ACCGAAAGGGAAGCCGGUUAACAUUCCGGCACCUAGAUGUGGAUUCUCCACGGCAACGUAACUGAACGCGGAGACGUCGGCGGGGGUCCUGGGAAGAGUUCUCUUUUCUUCUUGACAGCCUAUCACCCUGAAAUCGGUUUGUCCGGAGCUAGGGUUCUAUGGCUGGCAGAGCCUCGCACCUUUGCGAGGUCCGGUGCGCCCCCGACGACCCUUGAAAAUCCGCGGGAAGGAAUAGUUUUCACGCUAGGUCGUACUCAUAACCGCAGCAGGUCUCCAAGGUAA
rnacentral:rRNA from 1 species